CCCUUAGAUGGUCUGGGCGGCACGCGCGCUACAAUGAUGCAUUCAAAAAGUCUUCUGACCUUAGAAGGUUGGGUAUUCUCCAAAGUGCAUCGUGAUGGGAAUAGUUUAUUGCAAUUGUUAAUCUUGAACGAGGAAUUCCUAGUAAACGCGAGUCAUCAGCUCGCAUUGAUUACGUCCCUGCCCUUUGUACACACCGCCCGUCGCACCUACCGAUUGAAUGGUUCGGUGAAGAUCUCGGACUUCGAUAUUUAUUCUUUAUUGAGUUUAUAUUGUGGGAAGUUAUCUAAACCUCAUCAUUUAGAGGAAGGUGAAGUCGUAACA
rnacentral:rRNA from 1 species